rnacentral:lncRNA from 1 species
CAGUUUCAUUCAGUUACAUCCGCGCCAAACACUGCAGAGUUCGGGUUUGACUGGGGGAGAAGCUCGGCUGGAUUGUGAUGUUUUUACCGCCGUUAUCUGCACUUUUAUAGCUCCAGUUUUAUGUGGAGUUUAAUUAAAUACUGCAGCAUUGAACCGUUACAGCGCCGGAAUCUGAUAAAUCUGAUUUCUGCCUUUAAUCAAGCGGGCUGUGCAGGAGGCCUGCCGGUCAGACGCUCAGACUGAGAGAGAGAGAGAGAGAGAGAGAGAGGGCGCAGAAGAUGUCGCUCUGGCGCCACAUUGUUGAUAAGCAGAAGGGCAGUGGCGGUGGUGCCCUGGGCGACAGUGUGUGUACACUUCCCCACAGCUCCAGCUCAGGCCUGCAGGGAGAUGAUUCCUCAGAUAUGAAGCAGACACAGCCCUGUCUACAGCAUCUACAGCCUGCUGGAAACAAGACCUGUCUGCUGCGCAGUCCACAGUCCAAUACAGGUUUUAUCAAAACAACCCCCUCAGGAUCCAUGAGGGACGUUUCAGCCUCCAGCCUGCACAGCUCUCCAGGUCAUUGUUGCACUCCAGCUCAGUCGCCUGCUGGAUUGGAGAGAUCCUUACUCAGACAGCUUGUCUCUGGAUCUCCUCAAACUCACAGUGCUGGAAAGAGGAGGCCACAACUCAUACACAACCCUAAUAAGGCCACCGUGACUGUGGACAGGACCACAGAGAAGGUGUUGGAAGUGAGCAAGCAAGCAUGCCAGCUAUUGGAGUGCAAGUGCAGUGAUCUCAUUGGUCAAACAGUGACAUCAUUCCUGAAGACCAGUCAGACCACAGAGAAUGUCCUGGGUGAAGAAAAUCUGGACACUGAUGGGAACUUGAUUACCAUAUUAGGAAAAGUGGUAUGAAAGCUGUUAUGAUUAAACGUUUUAUAUUGAAAAGAAGAUCAAGUCUUUUUUAG